rnacentral:snoRNA from 1 species
UUGCAUACAUUGAUGAAGCUUUGUGUGGACUAGAGUUUCUGACCUAAUGGUUGAAGACAAAACCCUUGGCUGUCUGAGUAAACCU